CAGCGUCCACAACCCUUAAAAGACCAAGAUGUAAGGUGUCUGCUGUUGAUUCCAGCUUCCACCUCAGUGACAGUGCAAGCUCAGUGAACUGUUCAAGGUAAAAAAAAUUAAAACAUUUCAGAAUUUUUAAGAUAUUAACAAUUAAAUAAGUAUGUGAUUACAUCAUGACAUCAUGAAGGAGGCUACUGAUUCUGGCCCUGUGACACUUGGUGGUGACGUGUGAGCUGAUUCACCUGGACACUCAGCAAAAUAUGGACUACACCAUGAGGCAGGCACACGUUAAUACUCUAUAAGAGCACAUAAGCCUGGCUGAUCACCUGAUAACUCCUGUCAUCUGGUUAUGACAGCACGAGGAUGUCCUCACACACCUGUAACCUAUCAGCUCAUCUGGCAGAAUAGAGAGAGAAGAGACAACACCACAUCUCCUGUUCCUGCAAAGCCUUCAGCCAUCCUUCGAUGACUGAGAACCUCCAUCAGCUCUGUCUCCUGUCUGCCUACAAUUAUUAUAAUAAAUAUUGUGUUUGACAAGCUUUUUGUGCUGCCAAAUAUCUCAUUUUGAUUCCAGUUUUGAUAGUUAAUGGAUAUUUAUAAAUUACAUUGAUUAUCACAUUGUUGCAUGUUUAACUAGCUCUAUUGUGAUGAAUUAAACUAGCACCUCACUGUUAAAAGCUUGUUUUAAUUUCAAGCAUGUUUAAGUAUUUAUGGACAUGAACAAAAACAGGAAAUAUAUAAAUUGAGAUUUAUUUAAUUAAUAUAACAAAUA